CAUAUACUCCCUCCGUCCCAUAUCAAGUGUCGAAAUGUUACAUGUAUCUAGACACUUUUAAAAUAUAAAUACAUUCAUAUUUGGACAAAUCUGAGACACUUAAUAUGGGACGGGAGGAGUACAAC
rfam:Brachypodium distachyon strain Bd21 chromosome 3, whole genome shotgun sequence.